rnacentral:tRNA from 1 species
AUCAUUUUAGUAAAAGUUAUUAUAUCACUUUGAUAGAGUGAAGUUCAUUGUUGAAAUGAUA